rnacentral:rRNA from 1 species
GACGAACGCUGGCGGCGUGCUUAAUACAUGCAAGUAGAACGCUGAAGGAGGAGCUUGCUUCUCUGGAUGAGUUGCGAACGGGUGAGUAACGCGUAGGUAACCUGCCUGGUAGCGGGGGAUAACUAUUGGAAACGAUAGCUAAUACCGCAUAAGAGUAGAUGUUGCAUGACAUUUGCUUAAAAGGUGCAAUUGCAUCACUACCAGAUGGACCUGCGUUGUAUUAGCUAGUUGGUGGGGUAACGGCUCACCAAGGCGACGAUACAUAGCCGACCUGAGAGGGUGAUCGGCCACACUGGGACUGAGACACGGCCCAGACUCCUACGGGAGGCAGCAGUAGGGAAUCUUCGGCAAUGGACGGAAGUCUGACCGAGCAACGCCGCGUGAGUGAAGAAGGUUUUCGGAUCGUAAAGCUCUGUUGUAAGAGAAGAACGAGUGUGAGAGUGGAAAGUUCACACUGUGACGGUAUCUUACCAGAAAGGGACGGCUAACUACGUGCCAGCAGCCGCGGUAAUACGUAGGUGGCAAGCGUUAUCCGGAUUUAUUGGGCGUAAAGAGAGUGCAGGCGGUUUUCUAAGUCUGAUGUGAAAGCCUUCGGCUUAACCGGAGAAGUGCAUCGGAAACUGGAUAACUUGAGUGCAGAAGAGGGUAGUGGAACUCCAUGUGUAGCGGUGGAAUGCGUAGAUAUAUGGAAGAACGCCAGUGGCGAAGGCGGCUACCUGGUCUGCAACUGACGCUGAGACUCGAAAGCAUGGGUAGCGAACAGG